rnacentral:lncRNA from 1 species
GUUUCUCUUUGAACUUUUCUUCAUCUAGAAAUAAUAAUAUCAAAAGAACGAGCUUCCUACAGAGAAAAGAAAUGUUUUAAGCUCAGACAAAAGAACUAUAUGUGGUAAACAAUAUGCUGAACGUCUUCAAAAUAGGGUGUUAAUAGAAAUCAGAACGGAGAAAGAUGAAAAGAUGCAGGAUUUAAUAACAAAAUGUUGUGGAUUAAUAGAGAGAGAAAAUAAUUUCCACUUUCA